rnacentral:rRNA from 1 species
CGAGGGUGCAAACGUUGCUCGGAUUUACUGGGCGUAAAGCGCGUGUAGGCGGACUCGCAAGUCGGUUGUGAAAUCCCUGGGCUUAACCUAGGAACUGCAUCCGAAACUGCUUGUCUUGAGUAAUGGAGAGGGUGGCGGAAUUCCCGGUGUAGAGGUGAAAUUCGUAGAUAUCGGGAGGAACAUCAGUGGCGAAGGCGGCCACCUGGACAUUUACUGACGCUGAGACGCGAAAGCGUGGGGAGCAAACAGGAUUAGAUACCCGAGUAGUCC